AGGGAAUAUUGGUUAAUGGGCGAAAGCCCGACCCAGCAACGCCGCGUGCACGAAGAAGGCCUUCGGGUUGUAAAGUGCUUUUUAGUGGGAUGAGGAAGGACAGUACCACUAGAAUAAGUCUCGGCUAACUACGUGCCAGCAGCCGCGGUAACACGUAGGAGACGAGCGUUAUCCGGAUUUACUGGGUGUAAAGCGCGUGCAGGCGGUCGGGUAAGUUGGAUGUGAAAGCCCCUGGCUUAACUGGGAGAGGUCGUUCAAAACUGCCGGGCUAGAGUGCAACAGAGGGGAGUGGAAUUCCGAGUGUAGCGGUAAAAUGCAUAGAUAUUCGGAAGAACACCAGUGGCGAAGGCGGCUCUCUGGGUUGCAACUGACGCUCAGACGCGAAAGCUAGGGUAGCGAACGGGAUUAGAGACCCCGGUAGUCCUAGCCGUAAACGAUGUGGACUUGGCGUGGGUGGGUUGAAAUACAUCUGUGCCGAAGCAAACGCGAUAAGUCCACCACCUGGGGACUACGGCCGCAAGGUUA
rnacentral:rRNA from 1 species